rnacentral:rRNA from 1 species
GACGAACGCUGGCGGCGUGCUUAACACAUGCAAGUCGAACGGAAAGGCCCUGCUUUUGUGGGGUGCUCGAGUGACGAACGGGUGAGUAACACGUGAGUAACCUGCCCUUGACUUUGGGAUAACUUCAGGAAACUGGGGCUAAUACCGGAUAGGAGCUCCUGCUGCAUGGUGGGGGUUGGAAAGUUUCGGCGGUUGGGGAUGGACUCGCGGCUUAUCAGCUUGUUGGUGGGGUAGUGGCUUACCAAGGCUUUGACGGGUAGCCGGCCUGAGAGGGUGACCGGCCACAUUGGGACUAAGAUACGGCCCAGACUCCUACGGGAGGCAGCAGUGAGGAAUAUUGCACAAUGGGCGGAAGCCUGAUGCAGCAACGCCGCGUGCGGGAUGACGGCCUUCGGGUUGUAAACCGCUUUCGCCUGUGACGAAGCGUGAGUGACGGUAAUGGGUAAAGAAGCACCGGCUAACUACGUGCCAGCAGCCGCGGUGAUACGUAGGGUGCGAGCGUUGUCCGGAUUUAUUGGGCGUAAAGGGCUUGUAGGUGGUUGAUCGCGUCGGAAGUGUAAUCUUGGGGCUUAACCCUGAGCGUGCUUUCGAUACGGGUUGACUUGAGGAAGGUAGGGGAGAAUGGAAUUCCUGGUGGAGCGGUGGAAUGCGCAGAUAUCAGGAGGAACACCAGUGGCGAAGGCGGUUCUCUGGGCCUUUCCUGACGCUGAGGAGCGAAAGCGUGGGGAGCGAACAGGCUUAGAUACCCUGGUAGUCCACGCUGUAAACGGUGGGUACUAGGUGUGGGGUCCAUUCCACGGGUUCCGUGCCGUAGCUAACGCUUUAAGUACCCCGCCUGGGGAGUACGGCCGCAAGGCUAAAACUCAAAGGGAUUGACGGGGCCCCGCACAAGCGGCGGAGCAUGCGGAUUAAUUCGAUGCAACGCGUAGAACCUUACCUGGGUUUGACAUGGAUCGGGAGUGCUCAGAGAUGGGUGUGCCUCUUUUGGGGUCGGUUCACAGGUGGUGCAUGGCUGUCGUCAGCUCGUGUCGUGAGAUGUUGGGUUAAGUCCCGCAACGAGCGCAACCCUUGUUCACUGUUGCCAGCACGUUAUGGUGGGGACUCAGUGGAGACCGCCGGGGUCAACUCGGAGGAAGGUGGGGAUGACGUCAAGUCAUCAUGCCCCUUAUGUCCAGGGCUUCACGCAUGCUACAAUGGCUGGUACAGAGAGUGGCGAGCCUGUGAGGGUGAGCGAAUCUCGGAAAGCCGGUCUCAGUUCGGAUUGGGGUCUGCAACUCGACCUCAUGAAGUCGGAGUCGCUAGUAAUCGCAGAUCAGCAACGCUGCGGUGAAUACGUUCCCGGGGCU